GGGCCCGCACAAGCAGUGGAGUAUGUGGUUUAAUUCGAAGCAACGCGAAGAACCUUACCAGGUCUUGACAUCCGACUAACGAGGCAGAGAUGCGUCAGGUGCCCUUCGGGGAAAGUCGAGACAGGUGGUGCAUGGUUGUCGUCAGCUCGUGUCGUGAGAUGUUGGGUUAAGUCCCGCAACGAGCGCAACCCUUGUCAAUAGUUGCUACGCAAGAGCACUCUAUUGAGACCGCCGUUGACAAAACGGAGGAAGGUGGGGAUGACGUCAAAUCAUCAUGCCCCUUAUGACCUGGGCCACACACGUACUACAAUGGCCGCCAACAAAGGGAAGCGAGAGAGCGAUCUGGAGCGAACCCCCAAAAGCGGUCCCAGUUCGGAUUGCAGGCUGAAACCCGCCUGCAUGAAGUCGGAAUUGCUAGUAAUCGCGGAUCAGCAUGCCGCGGUGAAUACGUUCCCGGGCCUU
rnacentral:rRNA from 1 species